AACAGCAUACAAAGAUUUUCCCAGAUCUUUUCCUGUUAAUGUCAACACUGGUCAUUUUUUCUUUUAGGUGAAAUUGUUUGUCGCUCGAGUCAAGUACUUUUCUGCAGCACUGCAGCCACAGAUACUGGCCACACAAAGAGUGUCCAGUGAAGGUUUUAUGGACCCUUAGUCCGUGUCCAGCAAAGGAGGCAGUUUUCAGUUUAUGAAGCACCUGAGACUGAUCCAAACCUCCAUGAAAUCGUCCGCUGGAAGAAGCCUUUGAGGACAAGUAGGACUUUUCUCCAUCCAUGGUGGAAAGGCACAGAAAUCUGCCAGCUCCUUGGCUGCUUUCCUGCACUGCCUUCCUGUGUGA